rnacentral:misc_RNA from 1 species
GCCUUUUAAAUCCCAUUAGCCUGCAAGAAAAAGAAACAAAAAUUAAGAUGGUUCAAAACAAAAGUUUGAUUCUCUGAAAAGUCAUAAGCUACAGCAUGCCCCAACAAGAUGACAAAACACAUUCAAAACAAAAUCAGUGAAUGUGUCAACAUAAAAAUAAAAGCAUCUAUAGAUUAAUAUGCACAAGAAUUCAGCCUCAAGUUCAUUCAAAAUUAUAAGAAUAAUUAAAAACAA